rnacentral:lncRNA from 1 species
GACUUGAACAUGGGUUUCAGAAACUGAACAUACAGGAGAGGAUGUCCAUGUGCAAUCAUGACCUGAGUGGAAUAAGGAGGAUAUUUAUGUGAGAAGUUGAUAGUUCCAAAGAUGGGAGACAUAUAUGGAAGUGUUUAAGUAAGUAACUAUGUUAAGGAUAAUGGGAGCCAGGUUUUUCACUAUUGGAAAUAGGAAUUGCAUAUAUGGAAAGGGAGAAAGCUGGAAUAAACUCAAUGGAGUUGGAACCUUUAAGUGUGAACUCAUGUUUGUGGUUACAGUGCUCUAUCUCGUUUAGGUCUGAUUGGUAGAUUUUAUGAGAGUUGGUGGCUGCAAGGUUAUGGAGCGGGAUAUAGCUGUAAUCAGCACAGCAGUGGGGAGAGAUCCCCUCUCCUGCGUUCCCUGUCAGCCUCAGACUUACUGAAUUUCCCACUCAGCUACACACACAGACACACAGACACACACACACACACACACACACACACAC